ensembl:lncRNA MRGPRG-AS1 MRGPRG antisense RNA 1
GUUGCGCAGCAGGCCGCAGGCGUUGGCGGGCAGCGGCACGGCCGGCAGGGUCGGGGUCCACACCAGGGCGCAGAGGACGGCCGAGGCGUGUCUGGGCCGGCAGCCCUGGUAGCAGGCGGGGAAGAGGUCGGAGAGGCAGCGCUCCACGCUGAAGGCCGCCAGCAGCCAGAGCCCCACCGCGAACCACAGGAAGUCAGGGGUUGGGGAGUGCGGCUCGGGCCUUGGCUCCUGUGCCUUGCCAUGGCCGGGCACACGGUGAUGGUGGCCUGUCCUCCGAGCCCAACCAGGGGCAGUGGGAGACCUCGGCCGGGCCCUGGCUUGUGGUGAACACUGGACAGUAAGAUGUUCUUGAUAAGAGAGUUUUUCCUUCCACGGACUGCGUUCCGCAGCUCCUGGGUGGGGUGCAGAGUGUGUCAGCUCAAGCCAGAAAUUCGGUCGUAAAGAUGCUGUUUCUCUUCACGUUUCUCAAAUGGACUUGGCUUCGGAAAUCACUUCUGCAACACAAACCAGCAGCCUGUGCAGCUCUGGGCGGGGGCAUGCCGGCUACCCAGCUC